UACGGAGGAUGCGAGACGGUUAUCCGGACUUUAAGUUGGGUUUAAAGGGUGCGCAGGCGGGAUUUUAAAGUCAGCGGUGAAAGUUUUCAGGCUCAACCUAAACACUGCCGUUGAAACUGGGAUUCUUGAGUAUGGAUGAAGGUAGGCGGAAUUCGUUGUGUAGCGGUGACAUGCUUAGAUAUAACGAGGAAACUCCGGAUUGCGUAGGCAGCUUACUAAGCCAUAACUGACGCUCAAGCACGAAAGCGUGGGGAUCAAACAGGAUUAGAUACCCCCGUACGU
rnacentral:rRNA from 1 species